rnacentral:rRNA from 1 species
GACGAACGCUGGCGGCGUGCUUAACACAUGCAAGUCGAACGGAAAGGCCCUGCUUUUGUGGGGUGCUCGAGUGGCGAACGGGUGAGUAACACGUGAGUAACCUGCCCUUGACUUUGGGAUAACUUCAGGAAACUGGGGCUAAUACCGGAUAGGAGCUCUUGCUGCAUGGUGGGGGUUGGAAAGUUUCGGCGGUUGGGGAUGGACUCGCGGCUUAUCAGCUUGUUGGUGGGGUAGUGGCUUACCAAGGCUUUGACGGGUAGCCGGCCUGAGAGGGUGACCGGCCACAUUGGGACUGAGAUACGGCCCAGACUCCUACGGGAGGCAGCAGUGGGGAAUAUUGCACAAUGGGCGGAAGCCUGAUGCAGCAACGCCGCGUGCGGGAUGACGGCCCUCGGGUUGUAAACCGCUUUCGCCUGUGACGAAGCGUGAGUGACGGUAAUGGGUAAAGAAGCACCGGCUAACUACGUG